rnacentral:lncRNA from 1 species
UUUUUUUUUUUUUUUUAGGGCCACACUCACAGCAUAUGGAAGUUCCCGGCGAGGGGUUGAAGUGGAGCUGCAGCUGCCAGGCAGCAACACCAGAUUUGAGCCAAGUCUGCAGCCUACACCACAGCUCAUGGCAACGCCAGAUCCUUAACCCACUAAUCGAGGCCAGGAAUGGAACUCACAUCCUCAUGGAUCUUAGUUGGGUUCGUUUCUACCGAGCCACAACAGGAACUCUGUAAAACACCUUUUAAAUUACUUGAAUUGGCUAAGGUCUUCCCUCUCUCCUGACUAUACUUCCAGUCUCUUAGAUUUCUUUUUGUUUCACUUUAUAUUUAAUUAAAAUUAAAAAAAUUUAAUAUAUCUGGAAUUUGCUUUUUGUGCGAUUGUAUGGGUUGUACUUUCAUUUUCUUCAGAUGGAGAGCUGUGCCAGCCUUUACUAAGUAACAUUCUUUCUUACUGAAAUAUAACUUUUUCAUGUAUUAACUUGUUACAUACUAGACUCUACUUCUGGACUCAAUUCUACUCUAUGAAUUAACAUCAUUUCUCUUUCAUUUGAACCUUAAAAUCACUUAGUCCAAUUUUGAUUUCAAAACCUCACCUAGUUGAAUUUCAAAUUAGUGGUAUUACAUUAAAAUGUUAAUUUGGGGGAAUUGAUAUUUCAUGAUAUUGUCUUCCCAUUCAAGACUAUACAAUUUCUUCAGACCUUGAUUUAUGUUCUUUAGUAAGACUUUUUUUUUUUUUUUGUCUUUUUAGCUAUUUCUUGGGCCGCUCCUGCGGCAUAUGGUGGUUCCCAGGCUAGGGGUCGAAUCGGAGCCGUAGCCACUGGCCUACGCCAGAGCCACAGCAACGAGGGAUCUGAGCCGCGUCUGCAACCUACACCACAGCUCACGGCAACGCCGGAUCCUUAACCCACUGAGCAAGGCCAGGGAUUGAAACUUCGUCCUCAUGGAUGCUAGUCAGAUCCCCUUCCGAUGAGCCACAGUGGGAGCUCUUAGUAAAACUUUAUAAUAGCUCUGUCUUGUUAGCUUUAUUCCUUGAGAUGCUUAUAAUUUUUGUCUGUCAUAUUUAUCCUUAUACCAACUUUGAAUUGCUUAUUGUGAAUAUAGGGGAAAAAUGCUAUUCUCAAGCACCUAUGGUCAGCUAGUCUAUGACAAAGGCGGCAAGGACAUACAGUGGAAGAAAAAUAGUCUCUUCAAUAAAUGGUGCUGGGCAAACUGGACAGCUACAUGUAAAAGAAUGAAAAUAGAGCACUAACACCAUACACAAAAAUAAACUCACAAUGGAUUCAAGACCUAAAUAUAAGGCCAGAUACUAUUAAACUAGAGGAAAACAUAGGCAGAAUGCUUUUUGACUUAAAUCACAGCAACAUCUUGUUUGAUCCACCUUCUAGAAUAAUGACAAUAAAGCAAUGGGAACUAAUCAAACUCAAAAGCUUUUGCACAGCAAAGGAAAUCAUUUAAAAAAAAAAAAAAAAGAGGGAGUUCCCGUCAUG